rnacentral:rRNA from 1 species
AACGAACGCUGGCGGCAUGCCUAACACAUGCAAGUCGAACGAGACCUUCGGGUCUAGUGGCGCACGGGUGCGUAACGCGUGGGAAUCUGCCCUUGGGUUCGGAAUAACAGUUGGAAACGACUGCUAAUACCGGAUGAUGACGUAAGUCCAAAGAUUUAUCGCCCAAGGAUGAGCCCGCGUAGGAUUAGCUAGUUGGUGAGGUAAAGGCUCACCAAGGCGACGAUCCUUAGCUGGUCUGAGAGGAUGAUCAGCCACACUGGGACUGAGACACGGCCCAGACUCCUACGGGAGGCAGCAGUGGGGAAUAUUGGACAAUGGGCGAAGGCCUGAUCCAGCAAGGCCGCGUGAGUGAUGAAGGCCUUAGAGUUGUAAAGCUCUUUUACCCGGGAUGAUAAUGACGGUACCGGGAGAAUAAGCUCCGGCUAACUCCGUG